GACGAACGCUGGCGGCGUGCCUAAUACAUGCAAGUAGAACGCACAGUUUAUACCGUAGCUUGCUACACCAUAGACUGUGAGUUGCGAACGGGUGAGUAACGCGUAGGUAACCUGCCUGGUAGCGGGGGAUAACUACUGGAAACGAUAGCUAAUACCGCAUAAUAUUAAUUAUUGCAUGAUAAUUAAUUGAAAGGUGCAAUUGCACCACUACCAGAUGGACCUGCGCUGUAUUAGCUAGUAGGUGAGGUAACGGCUCACCUAGGCGACGAUACAUAGCCGACCUGAGAGGGUGAUCGGCCACACUGGGACUGAGACACGGCCCAGACUCCUACGGGAGGCAGCCGUAGGGAAUCUUCGGCAAUGGACGAAAGUCUGACCGAGCAACGCCGCGUGAGUGAAGAAGGUUUUCGGAUCGUAAAGCUCUGUUGUAAGAGAAGAACGGGUGUGAGAGUGGAAAGUUCACACUGUGACGGUAUCUUACCAGAAAGGGACGGCUAACUACGUG
rnacentral:rRNA from 1 species